AAAAGAGGUUUAAUUGACUCACAGUUCUGCAGGCUGUAUGGGAAUCAUGACUAGGAGGCCUCAGGAAACUUACAAUCAUGGCAGACAGCGAAGGGGAAGCAAGCACCUCUUACCAUGGUGGAGCAGGAGCCUGGGGAGGUGCCACACACUUUUAAACAACCAGAUCUUGUGAGAACUCAUUCACUAUCAUGAGAACAGCAAGGAAGCAAUCUGCCCUCAUGAUCCAGUCACCUCCCACUAGGCCCCUCCUCCAAUUCAACAUGAGAUUUGGGUGGGGACACAAAUCCAACCUGUUAUCACACAGUCUUUUCAGUAAACCCAGCAGUGAUCAGACUCACGAAGCACAUUUAUUAUACUAACCACACCUACACACAGUUAGCUGAUAAGACUGCUAUCUGUUGGUUGAGGGGGGAGGAGACCCAGAGAAGGACCAGAAUAUUGUCUUUAGGGUAUGAUGUUUAGGCUGUUAGGUGGACAGCAAAAAUGGCAGAGGAAGGCAGGGUGGUACAAUGAGUGAUAGAUGAUGCAAUGUGAAUCGAAGGCCUAAAACCCACAAGAACAGGGGUGUUUUGCCACCUACAGUAAGAACACUCAUGUCAAUACGGCAGGACCACUUCCUUCUUGUGUAUUUCUGAAAACACAUAUGGGAACUCCUAAUCUCUCAUUCCCUCUUUUCUAAAUGUUAUAAGACAAUUUGUAAUACUGUGUUGACAUUAUGGAUUUUGGUUUAGAGUUUAGGCAUUUAAAAGACACUGGACCCUACGUCUGGGACAGAGCAAUUAGCGAACACAGGUGAUGAGUACUGAACAACUUGAGUAAAUGAUUCCUUGUGUCCAUGUUACAAUUUCCAAGCUCCAAUUCAUGCCGACCUAGUUUAGUUCUAGAUGUGUAUUCUCAUGAUGAGAUCUGCAGAUACAACAUGCUCAUAAUAGAUUCAGUUUCUAAAGUGUCCCUUAAACUGGUUUGUCUACAACUUUCAUGUUGACUGUUUUUUUUUUUUUUUAAACUCCAGAUCUAACUGCACUUUAUAUAUGGCUGGUGAUCAGACAGUAACCCUUUUCUGAGUUUAGGGUCUACAGUCCUUUCAGAUUAGACCUCAAAUGGACACAUCCUGUACGUGGACAGCAGAGCUAUGGAAAACAAGAGGGAUGCAUUUGUAACCCUCUGUUUACACUACAUCCUAACUUCUUCAGCAGCUGAGUCCUUGUCAAGCCAAAAGGAGUGAUAGUAGAAAAUUAUAUUCGUACAGCCAACAUUUAAUUGUUGACAUAUAGAAAAUACUUUUUUUUCAGUUAAUUUCUUAAUUAUAGGUGAGAUCUAUGUUCCCAGCCCAAAUACUUGAUGGGUGUCUAUUUAAUAAUGUGAAUAUUUAGUUUGCUUUCACGAAGGAGUGCAGGCCAUAAGACAUACUUACUACCAAAAUAACUCUCUACAAUGAUCCUGAUUAUUCUGCUUAACUGAUCUCUGGGCACUGUAUAAUAUUGACUGGAAAGGCACAAAAGAACAUUCCUUGCUUUUCUGCUCUUUGUGAGUGGACACGGCAAGGAAGAAAAUCCUUUCACCUUUGCACAAUCAAAGCUGCUUUUGGUCUUUUGGAUAAUGUCAGACUAAUCAUUGAGUCAAGAGAUUGGACCAAAUCUUUAACAAUUCAGAGUAAAAUGAAUUCAGGGCUCCCCUGUUCUCAAGGGCCCCCAGGCUAUUUUCCCCAAAAUGUACAGGUAUUGUGAGUAACUUAUUACUAGGUGUCUUGUCUCUUUCCUAUCUAAACCUGCAGUUCACAGUGCAAGGUCGGCACAGAGUGUGAGACCGUACUCUUUAUGCAGUGGAUUUUAAAUCACUGGAACAAAGAAAUGUAAAAUGCGGAAAUGUGAGAGCUGAUCAUAUUAAUUGAAGCUAUUGUUCCACAAAUUUUAGGAGAUUGUAUCCAGUAGCAGAGAAAUUGGUUCAUGGUUAGUAGAUUCUGACAAAAGAUUUUUUUUAAUAUUAUUUACUUAUUUCUGAAAAUAACAAAAAGCUUGUUUAAAAAAUUUUUAUUUUUAAAAGUCUACCCAGUUAACUCGCUUGACUAGAUCAGAGUGCUACUGAGAAAAAAGUUUUAGCUUUCUUCUCUUCACAAAUAUCUUUACUUAACGUCUUGCCCUUCAGUGCUAGAUAACCAGCAGGCAAGUGAGACUCGCUAAAAACUGUGGGUGGUGGAAUGGAUCCUCCGCACUGAGAGGACAGAACAACACGUGCCAUUUUCUAAUCAUUGCAGCCUGUGAACCUCUCUAAAUAGGCAAAUGAGGCCAAGGGCGAUGGAGGGUCAAUGAGAGCUCGCGGGGUGACGCCAUUCUGCUGGGGUUCUGGAGAGGCCAAAGCUGGAGACGGUCCCGUUUGUGGUCAGCACGGCCUUUUACUUUCUGGCCGUGACGGGCAACUGCACCAACGUCCUCGUCUCCCUCCAACUGCACACUCCCACUUCCUCAGCGACCGGGCCCUUCUCCACCUCCUGCCACAGCACUCGCAGCUUCUCCCAAGUGCUAGUUAACCUCGGGGGCUCAGGCAAAUCCAUGGCCCGCGUGGGUGUGCGGGGCGGCCCUCUGAGGUCUCUGGCUCCUGGUCUGGCCUGGCCGCGCCGGCUCCGGGAGCUGCCAUUCCGCCCUGACGUCGCCGCGUACACGUACCUGGGGCGGUGCAGUCACCGCUGCCUCUGCCAGUUCGUGUGUGGGACGCCGGGCAUCACCGCAUUUCCGCGUGGACGCCGGCAGGGUGGAAGGCCUGGCUUUCCCCGGCCACCCCAACCGCCCUGGCGCCUCUCGCGCGCCUUGGCCUCGGCGCCUCGGGGGCGGUGCACUGCUGCGCAUGCGGUCUCAGCGCCCGGCCUUCCCGCGCGGCUGCCGCCCUUUCCACAGUGACGCCGUCUGCACUAGCGCCGCACUCGCUUCAACUGCCUGCAACCGCCGCUGAAUUCCCUCAUCUCCACACGCUGAGAGGACGAGAAAGGCGCCCUGGGGAAGGCUCUCGGGAAAGCCCGCAGCCGCUGGACGCGGGAGGACAUGGAGGUGGACUGACUGCCCCAUGUCCUUCAAAGUUAAUUGCAAAAGAGUUCAUUGCAAGAGAUGAUGUGCUGGUGGAAAGAGAGAUGCUGCUGCUUCUUUCCUCAGUGGGGUUUUACAGGCAGAUAAUGACUGCUUUGCAGCUCAUUUGUGACUGAUUCCACUGAGCGGUAAUGUCAAUAUUAAAUCAGAUAUAAGAGUAAGGAGACAGCAUGGCAGAAACGCA